CACACUGAACCCAAUCUAUGGCCGCACACCUGCGUCCUUGUCCUUGGAGUCAACAAUUUCUCCCAGCUUUAGCUUGAAAUCCUCCAUCCAUCUUUAGAUGUGGAUGUGCCACAGGAACAAAGUGCUAGGAAUUGAACUCAGGGCCUCACAUGUGCUAGGCAAAACUGUGCCACUGAUUUCCCUUCUAGCAUAGGAAGCCCCCAGGACCCCUUCUGAAGACAGCAUCUCGACAAAAGCAACACACUUCGGACUCGCAUUGUGCUUGGCAAAGGACUGCAUGCACCCCCAGUGCUUUCCCCCUUAGCAGAGCUUCCUGCCGACUUUGGGGUUGGCAAGAAAUAUGGGCUGCCCACUCACCCAUGGCUGCAGGCUCCAGGUCCACAAAGAUAACCCAGGACACGUGCUUGCCAGCCCCUGCUUCAUUAGAGGUGGUGUUGAAAGAGUCAUCAUUGUUCCCCAGGGUCUCACUGCUGUGCAUGGUGCCAUCAGGCUGGAUGUGGUGCCCCAGGCAGAAGAGCUUCCUGAAGGUGUUGCCCAUCUGCACCCCAGCCUGGCUUACGUGAAUGGAAGUGCACUCAUGAUGGUGGUGGCAGUGAGCAAUGGGGGGAGGGGGAGGGGGGCGAGGCCUGAAAAGCCUUGCCUUGGAGCAGCCUAUCUUUCCUUCCAGAAGCCUGAAGUUGCUGUAUUAUCUGGUCUGAAACCCAAAAGACUGGCCAAGUCUCCUUACACCUGAAGCCAAGCCACCCCAGGGCUUCAUUUCCUUUCAGUUGCUCAGGAUUUAAGAAGAAAGUGGCUGUUAAUACAAUCCCAAUCAAAAUUCCAACAGCAUAUCUCAUAGAAGUAGAAAAAUGAAUCCUA